UCAUUUUUCUCUCUAUCUACUCUCUGUUUCACUCUGUUCUCCUCUCUAUUUUCUCCCUAAUUUCUCUCUAUUCUCUGUUUCCAUCUGUUCUUCUCUCUGUUUUCUCUCCAAAACUUAUCAUUUCUCUCUCUUUCUUUCUUUUUUCAUGAGUAUCAACUAGAAAUCCUAAAUUCGAAACCUAAGGUCCUAACAUGUUCCCCCACUCCUUCUCUCCCACUUUAUUGGGUUCUAAUUGCCUCUGGGCUCUGGCUGUGAUGCCCUUCUGUUUCAAUUUUAAAAUUUUAACUGUAGCACUCUUCCUCCCCCAUUAUAAGGGCCAAAUGACUGAUAAUUUAGAAUUCAUUCACCAAUCUCGCGGGACAGAACAUAGGCUCAAUACGUUGAUAUUGUUGUUGUUAUUAUUCAUCCUCCCCCAUUGGAAUUCUCCGCCGACUUAACUAUAUCUGGAGUUGUACAUGGCUCCCUCCCAAGCUCCAGAUUACUUGGCCACAUUUGCCAAGAACUUACCUUAAUCUCUACUUUGGGGGUGGUUGGAUUGCAGUUGGGACUUUUCCACCAGUUUUGUUGGCCUGUGUGGAGGAUGGAAUUGGUACAACAGUCGUAUUAGACUGCCCAACAAGAGGUCGAGGUUCCUAUCAGCUUUGCUCCAUAGGUUUGAGGUUUCUGCCAUUCCUUAGCAUCCUCGGAUCAUAUCAAGCAAGGCAAAGCUUUGUUUUUGAACACAUGGUUGAUUGAGUUUUUGUUGUCCAAUCGCAAAGGGCAACAAAACAAGAUGCCCAGUCAGUGCUCCAAUGUCCACGUGGACAAUUGCCAAUGGUGGACAAAUGCCAA